GUUUUAAAUGGUUGAAGGGAAAUAAAGGUAAAAAGCAAGCAUUCAUGUUAGGAGAAGUCAAAAAUCUUUUAACUUUCCAAAGUUCAAGUUUCCAAGAGUUUUUCAUGUAUCUUUGGAGGGAAUUGUGUUUUCAAAGCCAUAGUUCUCAGGUGGGGCUAGGGUUUUGGGGAAAAAUGAUUUGAGUUACCCGUAAGUUCUUUCUCAAACAGAGGCAUAAUGGCGGCCAGAUCUACAAUAAUCAACCCAACAAAGGCUUAAGAAUCAGUCAAGUAGUAAGAUCUUUCUUUCUUCAUUUGAAAGAAGAGGCCCACAUUCGAUAUUUUGAUAAUCUUUUCAAAGAAAAGAGGCAGUAAAGAUUUGUCGAGUUUCACAUCCUCAAACCUGCAGAGAUCAUGCAUUCUUCUAUCAAGGCAAGUUUUUUUGGAAAUCUUGGCAUUGGAUGUGCUUCAACAACAGUAAUAGAGUUUUGCAUGCAAAAAGUGGAUCAAUGACAACAAAAUCUUAUAAAGGAUGUUUCAGAUUAAGAAGAGUACAUCAUUCAUAGAUCAUGUAUAUUCUCUGUCUCAGAUCAAUUUCGACCCAAGGGAAAAGAUAUGCAAAGUUGGAGAAGGUUCCAAGAAGAAGGCCAUCAAUUGGAGCUGGAGUUCAAGCAGUCUCAUCUUUUAGUUCCAGAUCAACUCUCUCUUCUAUAAGACUUCUUCUCUCUUCCUUUUCUCAGUUAGUUGCUCUUUCUCUGCCCUUUGCUUUUCAGCUGGGCAUGAAGAUUUUAGCUCAUUUCCGAGUAUUGUAACAGCAACAUUUCUUUGAUUUUUCAAUAAAAUAGACGCAUCAUUCCUUCCCAA